AGAGUUUGAUCCUGGCUCAGGACGAACGCUUGCGGCGUGCCUAAGAAAUGCAAGUCGAGCGGGGAGUUAGAUUUCGGUUUAGCUUCUAGCGGCGAACGGUCGCGUAACACGUAAGCAACCUGCCCCGAAGACCGGGACAACAGUGGGAAACCGCUGCUAAUACCGGAUGUGGCCACCGGGAGGCAUCUUCUGGUGAUUAAAUCCAGCAAUGGGCUUCGGGAGGGGCUUGCGGCCUAUCAGCUAGUUGGUGGGGUAACGGCCUACCAAGGCGACGACGGGUAGCUGGUCUGAGAGGACGGCCAGCCGGACUGGGACUGAGAUACGGCCCAGACUCCUACGGGGGGCAGCAAUUAGGAAUCUUGCGCAAUGGGCGAAAGCCUGACGCAGCGACGCCGCGUGGAGGAGGAAGUCCUUCGGGAUGUAAACUCCUUUUGCCUGGGAAGAACACAAUGACGGUACCAGGUGAAUAAGCCCCGGCUAACUACGUGCCAGCCGCCGCGGUAAUAC
rnacentral:rRNA from 1 species